CCUUGCCUCCGAUUAUGACCGCAGCUGGCUCGAAUCAACGUCGGUAGCUAGUACUCGGACCUGCAUCACGAAAAUAGAUGCAGAGUGUAGUAUGAGUACCAAAACAACAGGUACCCAGUAGGCCUCAGGCCGACGGAGCAAGAUAAGUAAAAGUGAACUGAAAUGCAAAUAAAGGGUCACAAUCAAGGGUAAAAGAGUAGUAAAUGUGGGUAUGUACACGAGCAUACAGGCCACAAAGACAAGGAAUAUAACUAACUCCGCCGGGCUCCCAUAAACUCGACGGGUACGCUCGUGCACAAUAAAAGAAACCACCUGCACGGACCUCCAUAAGCCCGGCAGAUGCACCGACAGUUGAAGUAAAAUAAUGCAGCUAGAAGGUCUGUUACAAUAUUACCAAUUUUCGAACGUUAACUGAACUAUUCCUAUUUAUAUUCCAAGAUCUCAUUGCGUCCCGGACUUUAAUCGAAACAUCUCCAACCUCCAAAACCUCAACCUACAAAUGAGAGUAAUCAGGACUAAACUGAAGCUUCAGUAAGGAAUUGGGAAUGCACCACGUGCAAGCUGGACCACAGACUCGAACCGGGUACUAUAGCUAAUGAGUCAACCUAUAUGGGUUGGACCACAGACUCGAACCGGGUGCUAUAGCCAAAGGUCGGGCACGGGUGGGCUGGACCACGGACUCUAACCAGGUACUGUAGCCAAAAUCAGAUCACAGGUAAGCUCGACCACAGACUUUAACCGGGUACUGUAGCCAAAACCAGAUCACAGGUAAGCUGGACCACGGACUCUAACCGGGUACUGUAGCUAAGCCUGGACAUAAGUAAGCUGGACCACGGACUCUAACCGGGUACUGUAGCCAAAACCAGAUCACAGGUAAGCUGGACCACGGACUCUAACCGGGUACUGUAGCCAAAAUCAGAUCAUAGGUAAGCUAGACCACGGACUCUAAUAGGGUACUGUAGCCAAAAUCAGAUCACAGGUAAGCUGUACCACGGACUCUAACCGGGUACUGUAGCCAAAAUCAUAUCACAGGUAAGCUGAGUUACCGCCUAGCUAAGGCUUAGACUAUCAGACUCAAGUCUGCUAUAUCAGUCUACAAGGAGCUGACCGUCCGAAAUGACGUCGGAAAAAGUUGUACUGCUCAACGACAUCCAAAACCUCGCAAGUCUAUGGCAACACUUGUCUAAGCUGAGACUAAGGCCAAACAUACUUCAAAUCAAUAUUAUCAUAUACACCACAAGGUAUGGAUGUUCAAUAAAAUCAAGAGUCAUGUUGUCAUGAUCCAACAAUUUCCCGAAAUAAGGUCUAAGGCAGGAAUUAUAGAAAUUUAGCAUGCUCGACACCCGAACCCCUCCAUACUCAAGAAAAUCAAUAAACAAUUGCAUAAACAUGCUCAAUCUCAUGAGGGGAAGACCAUAGCCUACCUGAAAGCCGAUCACGCGUGCUCCAACUCAUGGUACCGGAGCUUUUGCCCUCCGAACGGUCUCCAAAUGCUUCCCCACUAUCAAAAGGUUAAUCACCUCGUCAUUACGAAUAUGUUGACACUACAAUUAUAUUUUUCGGAGACGGACCCAAAAUUGGGUCUAAAACGGGAUUGUGGGACCCACAAUUGAAAUCCGGAAAACGAAUCCGUGAAAACGUCCCAAAUACUUUACUAAACUAAUACCCCAAAAUUUAGCACAAAAAGAAGCCUAAAACAUAGCAAAUCAGUCCCAACAAUUAAAAUCAUUAAUAAGUCUAGACUUACGACUUGGCAGCCCCUUGAUCACCGAUUUAUGGAAAAACGAGACCCUUCCAACCAUAACAGAUUAUACCACGACGAUCCUUGUGGAAAACUCUACAAUUGAGCCUCAAG
rnacentral:lncRNA from 1 species